rnacentral:rRNA from 1 species
AUUGAACGCUGGCGGCAGGCCUAACACAUGCAAGUCGAACGGUAACAGGAAGAAGCUUGCUUCUUUGCUGACGAGUGGCGGACGGGUGAGUAAUGUCUGGGAAACUGCCUGAUGGAGGGGGAUAACUACCGGAAACGGUAGCUAAUACCGCAUAACGUCGCAAGACCAAAGAGGGGGACCUUCGGGCCUCUUGCCAUCGGAUGUGCCCAGAUGGGAUUAGCUAGUAGGUGGGGUAACGGCUCACCUAGGCGACGAUCCCUAGCUGGUCUGAGAGGAUGACCAGCCACACUGGAACUGAGACACGGUCCAGACUCCUACGGGAGGCAGCAGUGGGGAAUAUUGCACAAUGGGCGCAAGCCUGAUGCAGCCAUGCCGCGUGUAUGAAGAAGGCCUUCGGGUUGUAAAGUACUUUCAGCGGGGAGGAAGGGAGUAAAGUUAAUACCUUUGCUCAUUGACGUUACCCGCAGAAGAAGCACCGGCUAACUCCGUG